AGAGGGGUUGUGGCUUUGAGGACAAUUGUUCAAGUGAGAAGAGGGCUGUGCAGAUCUCAAGAUGACAUCGGGAUCCUGAUGUGAAGUUUUCCUGCUUCUGGAGGAGGGAAGCAGAGGGCUGUUUUGCCUCCUCUGGGCCAGGGAUGCAUGGAAUGGCAGAGGUGGGGGCUCCCAGCUAUGGUGACUGGGAGGGCAGGUCGGGGUCCCUGGAAGCAGAUCCUGAGACAAAGUCCCCUGUGCAAGAGAUUUAUUUCAAAGGUGUGCCCAGCUCUUGGUGGCCCAGGGUGGGCCUUGGCCUUCAGCCUGCUGACCCAGGACCCUCACUCCUUCCAUAGUGGGGACCAGUGCCUGUCUGAGCCCCAUCAUGAUCCCACUGGGAGGUACUUGUUAUAACUGGUUAGAGGAAUGAAUGAUACAAAGAGAAAGGAUUUGCCAUUUCAAUCCCAGCCAUCUCUGCUUGACAUACCUUGUGACCCUGCGCAAGUCACCUCAUCUUUUGAGUUUCUCUUUCUCCAUCUGUGAAACUGACUGGAGAUCAGCAAAGACAUUCCAUGGGAACCUGCUUUGUAACCCAUGAAGUGCCUUGU
rnacentral:lncRNA from 1 species